CAAAAGUGAACAAGGAGGAAGCAUAUUCCAUAUGAAGGUCGAGAUGACCCAACUCACACCCCCUCUUUGUGUACACCUCUUUGUGUACCACACAGAUAUAAUAUUAAUAAGCUUUUGAAGAUUUAUUGUGCAUGUAUAGCACGGUCGUCUAGGGGUGUAUACAUAAACAGUGAAAGCAGAGUCUUCAUAUAGGGUUUGCAAUACUGACAGUCUGGGUCAUAGGUGUAAU